rnacentral:rRNA from 1 species
GAUGAACGCUAGCUACAGGCUUAACACAUGCAAGUCGAGGGGCAUCAUGAGAGGACUUCGGUCCUUUCGAUGGCGACCGGCGAAUGGGUGAGUAACACGUAUCCAACCUGCCCCUGACCGGGGGAUAGCCCUCCGAAAGGAGAAUUAACACCCCAUGGGUGUCCGUGCGGCAUCGCGCGGCCAUGAAAGGUUACGGUCAGGGAUGGGGAUGCGUCCGAUUAGCUUGCUGGCGGGGUAACGGCCCACCAGGGCGUCGAUCGGUAGGGGUUCUGAGAGGAAGGUCCCCCACACUGGAACUGAGACACGGUCCAGACUCC